UCUCAUCUGGUUAAUCUGAACGGGCAUAUUUUCUUUCUGCUCUACCUCAGGAGACCUCCUCCCCUGAGCGCCCCCCUCCCUCAGGAGACCUCCUCCCCGACCUCUCGUUUUCUCUACCGACGGCCGACGUGGUGGUGUACCGCCGCCGUCACGGCGCUGAAACCGGCGAGAUCCUGCGUCCCCAUCGUGGCCCAGAUUCCCUAUGCCACCAGUACACCGAACACCUCAAGGCGGCUGGUUUGCGCUACUAUUUUUGGGGGCGAUCGGGCGCAUCCUGAUGACACAGCGACACAUAUGUGGGUGUUAAGCCCAGGUCUUGAUCGGUUCUGGUGAGAAAAAAUUGUAUCCAGGAGAUCGGGAUAUGAUUUGGGGAUGAGGACUGUUGGGGAACAUUAGUUGCCGAAUCUUAUUCCAUAGUUUGUGGUGUUAGAUUUGCAGCCGGAGAAGAAAUAAAGGCCAUGACCUUGUGCGAGGAAAACCCUUUUCUGCAGGCUUGAUAAAUAAUUUAUAUCCUGAAUUGGGACUUCCUGUUUUAAACAGUAAUUUAUGUUUGACUACUUGCUGGUACAAUGUAGUAUGUUUGUACUAAUACAUGUUGUUGUUGAUUUCGACUCGCAGAUUCGUAUGUGAAAGGAGGUGCAUGGGAGAAAAGAUGCCAGAGUUGCGUAGUGGAGUGUGAUAAUAUAUUCAAGUCAAGGAAAGUUGUGGUGACCAACACGAUUAUCCAUCACGUCCAGCGGGGACGCUGCAAGAAUCAUGGCCCCCAUGUGUGCUAUUGUCCAACACAGCCGCUGCCCUUUCACACUACCUCCACGCCGGUUGUGUUUUCCCUACAAGAAUGGAUGCCUUGGUGUCUGCAUUUUAUUCCGAGGAGAAAACACAUCCAGAGAAAAAACAAGAAUGAGUUGUCUAACUAGGUUAGCUAUCCACCUAUGUAUUUCUCUUUUUAUUCUAUGUAUUCAUUACUCAUUUCAGUUACUCUUCAUCUCUUAAAUUAUUAUAGAAACAAAUAUCUUUUUGGGCUGUUGUGUGCAAAUCAUAUUUGAAGUUUCCAUGCACAACGAGGACGAUUAUGUGCCUCUUUUAAGUCAUCCACGGUCAGAUUCAUUCUUGUCUUGGCUCUUACUUGGGCAAAAACUGGAAUAUCCUCUUUGGGAAUGAUGUUAGUCAGAAACUCAAUAUUAAUUUUGCACUUUAAGAAAGAGUCAAGUUUGUUAUGUAGCAUUAUAUUUGGCUCAGAUAGUUCUUGGAUGCCUUCCACGGGUCGAUGGGACGUUUUGCUCACCUUGCAAAAGUAAAGCAAUGAAGAAAUUUGUAAGGUGGGAACACUCGAAUCUCAGAGGUAAGUGUGCCAUGCUCUCCCUCUUGCGAUAUCGAAACUGGUUGCUCAUGUGAUUUUAGAAAAUUAUAAUUCAAGCAUGGAUGAAGCUUUGGCAUAAAGGAUGCCACUUAUAAGCUACAAAGCAGGAGGGCUUAAUUGCUUAACUAACAAGGUUUAUUUAUACAUCUUAAGGUGGAUUCAACUUACAAACCUCACAGAAUGAUCCCCAGCUGCUAGAGGUUUAAUUCAUCAGAUAUUUCCCUAACUGAUCGGCGCUAAAUUUAUGUUAAUCUAUCAUUACAAAAUGCUUUCUUCUUCUUUUUUUCCAGUCUGCAUGCUUUGUUAAUUUAUGACUUUUCCAAGAUGGCAAGAGCCUCUAACUUUUCUAAUUGCUCUCAUGGUUGCUUUCCCUUUUGACGAAUCGUAUGUGUGAUGUGUCUUAUCAUUCUCAAUCUUCUUAUAUCACAUUUUUUGUGACUCGGCUGUUGCAUCCUGGAAAGUUUGUGUAAACUGAGCUAACCAUUGAUAUAUAUAUAUAUAUAUAUAUAUAUAUAUAACAAAUUUUUCCUACUACCGGGUGUAGUUACUCCCACUUUUGUUUCAUACGUUCUAGGUAGUAUCUAUCAUAUUGAAGAGUAUGUACGCGUAGUAUGUAGUAUAUAAAAAUGUUUAGGUAGUAUGUAUACUACCUUUUUGGUAGUAUGUACCAUAUUUUGUGCAUACUCUAUUUAAUGUACAAAUAUGUACGUAUUUCACAAAUACAAUAAAACUAUGAGCUCACUUGCAAUUUUUUCAUAUAACUCGCUUUGGAGUAUCUUAGAUAUAGUAUAUGAACACACUAAAAAUAAUAUAUUAGAGUAUAUACUACCACAUGGUAGUAUAUGAGAAAUGGGUGUAGCUACACCCGGUAGUAGGAUGCAUUUUCCCUAUAUAUAUAUAUAUAUAUAUAUAUAUAUAUAUAUAUAUAUAUCGUACAUAGCUGAGGCGAUUCUACGUGUUGGCUGUGGGGUCAUCUGACCCACAGCCUUUUGCAUAAAACAGCCUAAAACACUGUAUACUUACUAUUCAUUGUGAAGAUUUUUUUCGAAAAAUUAGCUAUGACCCCACAGAUACUUGAGGCUGGCUUCUCCGCUGGUACAUAGUUACUUUAAGCCUCCCUGCAAAAAACAAACAACAGUUACUUUAAGCCAUAUGCAAGCCAUUCUUACAUGGAAUGUUCUGGUUUUAUCACUUUGUAUUGUCCAUCGAUGAAUUGAACCAUGCAAAUGUCUUCAGAUUGUUUCAUGGGCGAGCCCAAGUUCAUGACUAACAUGUUGUCCCACUAGCACAUCAUGAGCCCACUCAUAAGAAAAUAUUAAGCCUUUGUGAGAAAUACCAGAGCACAUUUACAAGUGAACUACUUGUUGCUCUUCGCUUUACUGGUCAUGUAGAAACAACUCUCUUUGGUCUGACUCUCUUAUGCCUAGAAACUAUUUCAGCCAUGUGUAGGAUUACCAGUAAGGGUAGGGGCACAAUAGUUCUUUUUAUUUCAAUAGAAGUCAUAUGAGCUACGAUCAUCUUUGUUUGUUUUUGAAAGAUCUAAUAUAAUAGUGAUUAGUAAAUAUGCAUGUCUUUUCAGAUGAGAUUGCUUGAUGCUAUAUAGUUUUACUCUCUUAAUGUAGACUGGAUGCAUACUUUCAUCAGUUGAACCAAUUACUCAUGGAAGGAAUAAAAGAUCCAAGCUAGGAAGGCAUGUUUCAAAGGCACAAGCAUAAGUCUUGGAAUAAUUGCUAUUGGUGGUUAAAAAAUUCAUGUAUGUCGAUGUGAUGUCUAUGAAAGAUGUUAAAUCUGCUUGAUGUAUAUGUCUAAUCUUUAUGUUGGCGAACAGGUGGAUGUUGACUACAUUAACAUUUCCUUGUGUUGCCUUAUUAGUGUAUGCCAAAAGAUGCAAAUCGUGUGGAAAUGCAAGAACAUGAGCUUCUGUUCUUUGCUUU